UGAGUAGAUAUCUCGAAGAGUGCUAUAGAUCUCCAAUUUCAUCUCCUUCCUAUUAAUCCUAUUAAUCGUGUUGAUCAGAACUUGCGAAUCCUAGAAGCUGGUAAUGAAGUCAAGGUUGCGAAAUAGAGCAUAGUUUAUGGCUGCAAGAACUGCCAAAGAUUCCGUGAUGAGACUUAAAGAUUAUCAUUCAAACAUUAAAUAUUGAAUUUUUUAAAGGAAAAGAAUUAAACAAAAGUUCAUUAAUCUUUUUUUUUUGAAUUUUUGCUUGAGACCUUAUCAUUUUUUAUUGCUUAUCCAAUUGUCAUUAACCAUAAGAUUAAAUAAGGGAAAUUUGUUCCUAUAACCCAACAAAAAACACAAAUCCAUUAACUACCCAAAACCACACCCUCUCUCCUACUUUCUUUCCUACAAAUCUAAUUUUUCUUUUUUUAUUUGGUUAUACGGCAAAUAAGGCCAUUAAAUAAUAGCUAUGUGAGAACAAAAUGAAUUAAAAAAAAAAACUAAAAUACUUAGUCGAUAUUGGAUUGGCCGGGAAAAGCAUUUUGGAUCCUCUUUUAGAUUAAGAAAAAAAAAAUAGUAAAAUAGAAUACGAACCACCUUAAAGUCUUAUAAACAAGCCCAAUCAUACAAAAUAAACAACACUUGAAGAAAGUUGGGCUUAUCUUUCAUGUUUCAAGGAUUAAAGUCAAAAGCUGCACGAGGCCAUUAGAACAGAUCAAUACAAAACAUUUAAAGAAUCGAAUCUUUAUAAAGCUAAAGGCCCAAUAAUGUUAAAUAGCUUAAUUGUAGUAGAAAAGUGUUACUUCGAUCCAAGCAUCUAAGACUGAAUCGUUUUCUUCCAAUCUCUCUUCCUCGAAGACUCAAAAUCAAUGGCGAAAGACACAUAACAUUGAAUAUCUUUUUAUUAAUAUUUGAC
rnacentral:lncRNA from 1 species